CCUACGGGUGGCUGCAGUGAGGAAUAUUGGUCAAUGGACGCAAGUCUGAACCAGCCAAGUAGCGUGCAGGAUGACGGCCCUCCGGGUUGUAAACUGCUUUUAGUUGGGAAUAAAAUGUGGCUCGUGAGCCCCGUAUUGUAUGUACCAUCAGAAAAAGGACCGGCUAAUUCCGUGCCAGCAGCCGCGGUAAUACGGAAGGUCCGGGCGUUAUCCGGAUUUAUUGGGUUUAAAGGGAGCGUAGGCCGGCUUUUAAGUCAGGUGUGAAAGUUUGCGGCUCAACCGUGAAAUUGCAGUUGAAACUGGAAGUCUUGAGUACAGACGAGGAGGGCGGAAUUCGUGGUGUAGCGGUGAAAUGCUGAGAUAUCACGAAGAACUCCGAUUGCGAAGGCAGCUCACUGGACUGCAACUGACACUGAUGCUCGAAAGUGUGGGUAUCAAACAGGAUUAGAUACCCCAGUAGUC
rnacentral:rRNA from 1 species